AUGGCCUGUACCGCAGCAUGGCGAUUGGAUGUGGGUCCAGCUCGUUUUUUCUCCAGCGACAAGGGAGAAAGGGGAUCUGGGGAUAGAAGCGAAGGCUCUGAGUGUGCGGCGGCGGCGCAAGUGGUGGCGGCGACGGAGGCAUAUCAGCGAGAAGGCAAAAACUACAUGCUCGCGUGGAUCGCUCCCCGGUGGGCGAGAAUGUGGCGGCUGACUUCCCAGUCGCUCCGGUUGACAGUGUUCCAUUUUUUGUCCAGGAUCUACAUUGACAACCUUGACCUGGGCAUCUUCAACAUGAAACACGAUGUGUUCCCGAGGAUCAAACAAUUUGGCGAGGGCAUGGUGCGGUGGAUGGCCACAAUGGCCACGGACGUUGGAGUUGCCGAGCCAUCAUUUGCAUCAGCAUCGCUUAGGGAUCCUUCUAGAGUGUCUUACAGAGGAAGACAUGCGCAAACAGUUGUUGCAACCAAUUUUACGCUAUACCAGUUAAUGCGUCUAUGCAAAGCAGAGUGA
rnacentral:rRNA from 1 species